rnacentral:rRNA from 1 species
CCUACGGGGUGCAGCAGUGAGGAAUAUUGGUCAAUGGCCGCAGGGCUGAACCAGCCAAGUCGCGUGAGGGAUGACGGUCCUAUGGAUUGUAAACCUCUUUUGUCAGGGAGCAAAGGGCGCCACGUGUGGCGCUUUGCGAGUACCUGAAGAAACAGCAUCGGCUAACUCCGUGCCAGCAGCCGCGGUAAUACGGAGGAUGCGAGCGUUAUCCGGAUUUAUUGGGGUUAAAGGGGGCGCAGGCGGAAUGUCAAGUCAGCGGUAAAAUUUCGGGGCUCAACCCCGUCGUGCCGUUGAAACUGGCGUUCUUGAGUGAGCGAGAAGUAUGCGGAAUGCGUGGUGUAGCGGUGAAAUGCAUAGAUAUCACGCAGAACUCCGAUUGCGAAGGCAGCAUACCGGCGCUCAACUGACGCUCAUGCACGAAAGCGUGGGUAUCGAACAGGAUUAGAUACCCGAGUAGUC